CGGGGAGGUAGUGACGAAAAAUAACGAUACGGGACUCAUCCGAGGCCCCGUAAUCGGAAUGAGUACAGUUUAAAUCCUUUAACAAGGAUCCAUUGGAGGGCAAGUCUGGUGCCAGCAGCCGCGGUAAUUCCAGCUCCAAUAGCGUAUAUUAAAGUUGUUGCGGUUAAAAAGCUCGUAGUUGAAUCUGUGUGUCACAGUGUCGGUUCACCGCUCGCGGUGUUUAACUGGCAUUAUGUGAUACGUCCUACCGGUGGGUCGUUCCUAUUAAUUAGGGCGACCCAACUAAUCUCCCAUCGCGGUGCUCUUUACUGAGUGUCGAGGUGGGCCGGUACGUUUACUUUGAACAAAUUAGAGUGCUCAAAGCAGGCUACCUUCGCCUGAAUACUGUGUGCAUGGAAUAAUGGAAUAGGGCCUCGGUUCUAUUUUGUUGGUUUUCGGAACUCCGAGGUAAUGAUUAAUAGGGAUAGAUGGGGGCAUUCGUAUUGCGACGUUAGAGGUGAAAUUCUUGGAUCGUCGCAAGACGGACAGAAGCGAAAGCAUUUGCCAAAAAUGUUUUCAUUAAUCAAGAACGAAAGUUAGAGGUUCGAAGGCGAUCAGAUACCGCCCUAGUUCUAACCAUAAACGAUGCCAGCUAGCGAUCCGCCGAAGUUCCUCCGAUGACUCGGCGGGCAGCUUCCGGGAAACCAAAGCUUUUGGGUUCCGGGGGAAGUAUGGUUGCAAAGCUGAAACUUAAAGGAAUUGACGGAAGGGCACCACCAGGAGUGGAGCCUGCGGCUUAAUUUGACUC
rnacentral:rRNA from 1 species